CAGCAUGGAAUAGGGUGCAGGUGAUGGAUUGUUAACUAGAACAGCAUGGAAUAGGGUGCAGGUGAUGGAUUGUUAACUAGAACAGCAUGGAAUAGGGUGCAGGUGAUGGAUUGUUAACUAGAACAGCAUGGAAUAGGGUGCAGGUGAUGGAUUGUUAACUAGAACAGCAUGGAAUAGGGUGCUUGCUUUCUAGCUUCUACUAGUGUGGAUGCCCUGCGAAAAAUGGCCGUUCGAAUUUAGCUUUAAUGCUGUCCUUGGAAAAGAAUCACUAAACUAUGCUGGAAUCUGGAUGUUUAUAUCAUUUGGCAGAUAUGCAAAUUAUCAGGAAGACUUUAUUUUUUAAAGAAAUUAUACAGAAUCAGAAGUCUCAGACUGUUUGUGGAUUAGCUUUCGAGAAAGUGCACAUUUCCCCUACCAAGACAUUCGGGGCUGCGUUAUUCAUCUUAACAUAACAGUUAUAUCCUUCGUAAGGCAGAAACUAACUUGAUAUGAACAAAAAUACUCAGCGAAGGUUCAAGAAUCCCUUAUUAUGGAAAAUGUCCGAUGGGAAAAAAAUGCAGACAGGUCGAGAAUCCGAACUCUAGCAGGCCUUGUUAACCAGCCAACUAUCGUCAAGGACAACCAGGAUCGGCCAAGAACACGUGCGUUAAGAUUGAAUAGGCUUCU